GAAGAAUCUAUUUGCAGCCAAGCCUGCGCAUUACCGUGCGCAGGGGAGGGCUCAGAAAAGAGGAAUCU
rfam:Hydrogenophaga sp. A37 NODE_52_length_38550_cov_8.59256_ID_103, whole genome shotgun sequence.